rnacentral:lncRNA from 1 species
AUGGGCAUUCUAUUGAAUAUGGGAAAGACAACCAAUGCGGAUUCAACGGCGACGAAGAGCUCCUUGACGGAGCUCAUUGCCUCGCCCCGGCCCCUUGGGGACUAGGCCGGACCCUGCUCAUGCUUAGCAAACUAAAAGUCCCCUAUAGCAGCCACACAAUAGUUAUCAUCGACGGGGACGGUGAAGGGGAGCGAAGGGGAUAAGGAGGUAGGGACACAAAGGUAAUUUCUUAGGGUCUAUCCAUGCUAGAGGUGUGAGUUGGUGUGCCACGUCAGCAAAAAAUGGUAAACAUGUUUCAUGUGGAUCGCAAUUUUGUAAUACAAAAC